UGGCUUAAGGAAUGUGGGGAGUGUAGAAGCUCAAUGAAGUACAUCAAGAUCAGAAGCAACACUUAACUCCACCUCCUCCUGCUAAACCAGGACCAGAGAAAAGAAAGGCCACUCCAACUAAAUUCGUAGUUUCUCCUUGCCGCCCGCUCCCCCUGCGCCAAUAUUUUAAUUAUUUGAUUAAAAUAUUAAAAAUAAUAAUAACGUAAAAAUACGAGUCUUUUGAGGUUCUUUUCACUCUUUUUGAAGAAUAACUGGGCUCUUCACUGCUCUC